rnacentral:rRNA from 1 species
AGAGUUUGAUCCUGGCUCAGGACGAACGCUGGCGGCGCGCCUAACACAUGCAAGUCGAACGAGCGAGAGAGAGCUUGCUUUCUCGAGCGAGUGGCGAACGGGUGAGUAACGCGUGAGGAACCUGCCUCAAAGAGGGGGACAACAGUUGGAAACGACUGCUAAUACCGCAUAAGCCCACGGCUCGGCAUCGAGCAGAGGGAAAAGGAGCAAUCCGCUUUGAGAUGGCCUCGCGUCCGAUUAGCUAGUUGGUGAGGUAACGGCCCACCAAGGCAACGAUCGGUAGCCGGACUGAGAGGUUGAACGGCCACAUUGGGACUGAGACACGGCCCAGACUCCUACGGGAGGCAGCAGUGGGGAAUAUUGCACAAUGGGGGAAACCCUGAUGCAGCGACGCCGCGUGGAGGAAGAAGGUCUUCGGAUUGUAAACUCCUGUUGUUGAGGAAGAUAAUGACGGUACUCAACAAGGAAGUGACGGCUAACUACGUGCCAGCAGCCGCGGUAAAACGUAGGUCACAAGCGUUGCCCGGAAUUACUGGGUGUAAAGGGAGCGCAGGCGGGAAGACAAGUUGGAAGUGAAAUCCAUGGGCUCAACCCAUGAACUGCUUUCAAAACUGUUUUUCUUGAGUGGUGCAGAGGUAGGCGGAAUUCCCGGUGUAGCGGUGGAAUGCGUAGAUAUCGGGAGGAACACCAGUGGCGAAGGCGGCCUACUGGGCACCAACUGACGCUGAGGCUCGAAAGUGUGGGUAGCAAACAGGAUUAGAUACCCUGGUAGUCCACACUGUAAACGAUGAUUACUAGGUGUUGGAGGAUUGACCCCUUCAGUGCCGCAGUUAACACAAUAAGUAAUCCACCUGGGGAGUACGACCGCAAGGUUGAAACCCAAAGGAAUUGACGGGGGCCCGCACAAGCGGAGGAACAUGUGGUUUAAUUCGAUGAUACGCGAGGAACCUUACCCGGGCUUGAAUUGCAGAGGAAGGAUUUGGAGACAAUGACGCCCUUCGGGGUCUCUGUGAAGGUGCUGCAUGGUUGUCGUCAGCUCGUGCCGUGAGGUGUCGGCUUAAGUGCCAUAACGAGCGCAACCCCUCUCCUUAGUUGCCAUCAGGUUAAGCUGGGCACUCUGGGGACACUGCCACCGUAAGGUGUGAGGAAGGUGGGGAUGACGUCAAAUCAGCACGGCCCUUACGUCCGGGGCUACACACGUGUUACAAUGGCAGGUACAGAGAGACGGUUGUACGUAAGUACGAUCAAAUCCUUAAAGCCUGUCUCAGUUCGGACUGGGGUCUGCAACCCGACCCCACGAAGCUGGAUUCGCUAGUAAUCGCGCAUCAGCCAUGGCGCGGUGAAUACGUUCCCGGGCCUUGUACACACCGCCCGUCAAGCCAUGAAAGCCGGGGGCGCCUAAAGUCCGUGACCGUAAGGAGCGGCCUAGGGCGAAACUGGUAAUUGGGGCUAAGUCGUAACAAGGUA